AGCUAGUCAAAAUCAGGAAACGACAGAGAGAGAGAGGGAGGGAGGAAGUAUGGCUGAUCUUGCUGUAGGCGUUAUUGAUUUCGAAACUAAACACGAACAGUAAACCGUUUAUACGUUUUUACGUUUUAAGUUACACGGAAAUUAGACACUUUUUGGUGGCCUUUGGUCUAAAUUUUCCACCACUAUCAUAUUCGUAGCUCAGAGCGGAGAAGUUGCAUACAAUUUCAAAUUGACCUAGGCACAGCGGAAGUGAGCUUAUUUGACCUUUGUUAGAGAACUGUUGUUUGGACUCCAGCAUGAGUGAGGAGAAACCUGAGGUUGAGCUCUUUGUGAAGGCAGGAAGUGAUGGUCAGAGUAUUGGGAACUGUCCAUUCUCUCAGCGGCUCUUCAUGGUCCUGUGGCUGAAAGGUGUGACCUUUAAUGUGACUACUGUUGACAUGAAGAGGAAGCCAGACAUUCUUAAAGAUUUGGCCCCUGGUGCUCAGCCCCCUUUCCUGCUGUACGGCACAGAGGUGAAGACGGACACCAACAAGAUAGAAGAGUUUCUGGAGGAAACCCUCUGCCCUCCUAAAUACCCACGGCUGGCAGCUCGCAAUCCUGAAUCUAACACUGCUGGUCUUGAUGUGUUCUCAAAGUUUUCAGCCUACAUUAAGAAUUCAAACCCUCAGAUGAAUGACACGCCACUCAUCAAUGUCAGUUCCAUAACAGUGGACCAAUCAGAUGACCGCGGAGGCGGGAUCUGGAGAAGGGUUUACUGAAGGCCCUGAAGAAGUUGGAUGACUAUCUGAACUCUCCUCUACCGGAUGAGAUCGAUGAGAACAGUGCUGAUGAUGUCACUUCCUCCACCCGCCCCUUCCUGGAUGGUCAGGAGCUCACUCUGGCUGACUGCAACUUACUGCCCAAGCUACACAUUGUCAAAGUUGUGUGUCAGAAGUUUCGAGGUUUCUCCAUCCCUCGCUCUCUGAUAUCUCUGUGGCGAUAUCUGGAUGCAGCAUAUGCCCGAGAGGAAUUCUCCUCCACUUGCCCCAGCGAUGAGGAGAUACAUGUAGCCUACUCCUCUGUUGUGAAGGCGCUCAAAUAGAAGGAUACACACACACAAACAUACAGUCACACACGCAUAUGCGUUAUUACCAAUUCUCUUUCCAGAUUAUUUCAAGUGUUUCCUUUAUGUCUCAAGCUCCUAAGGUUGUUUGCACCAGCAGGGUUCUGAGGUCUCACUUUUAAACUAAAUGUGGUCUUAUAGUUCAUAUUUUAUUCAAAAUCAUCUGAACUGCAGAGGUCAAGGUCCUUUCAGUAGUGGUUAGCAAUAGUGGUUCUUUUUCAGUAGUUUUCACAUUGGUUAGACAAGUGCUUUGCUAGCAGUUAAACAGGAUGUUGUUGCCUCAUUCCCUCAUUACUUCCCCCCUGCUCACUGUCAUUAUCUAGAUUAUGUAAUACAAAGUGUUUAAUGGCACACCUGCAACAUCACAGCUUUUCACUGACAGCUUCUUGAGUUGCAUUGCAUUUCAUAAACUGGUUUCAAAGUUGUUCAAACUGCUCUUUAAUUUCCAUAGAUUGAUAUGUUACAAAAUCAUAGAAGUAUCCUAAAAGUAUUCCAACUAAUUAGUUCAUUAGUACAGACUGCAGACUUGAAUUGGGUGUGUGAGGGAGACAUACAAAAUGUGCAAUGGUGGGGGUCCCCAGGACAAUGCUUCCAUCCAAAUAUCAGUCAAUGUCCACAUUGAAGACACUGUUGUUUAAUGUGUGUGAAGAUUAUGCAUGUUUGUUGCUUUCUGCAAAAGAAAGCCAUUAAUGGCAGCAAGCAAAAAUUUUGUGGGCAUGCUUUUUAUAUUUUAUAUAUAUAUAUAUAUAUAUAUAUAUAAUUUAUUUUUCUUUUUUACACUUUUUACACUCACUAGCCAUUUUAUUAGGUACACACACAUAUAUAUAUAUAUAUAUAUAUAUAUAUAAUAUAUAUAUAUAUAUAUAUAUAUAUAUAUAUUAUACUUUUUACACUCACUAGCCAUUUUAUUAGGUAAACCUUGCUAGUACCAAGUUGGACCACAUUUUACCUUGAAACUGCCUAAUUUUUCAAGGCAUAGAUUUAAAAAGGUGCUGAAAUAUUUUGGUCCAAAUUGACAUGAUAGCAUCACACAGUUGCUGCAGAUUUUCCAUCCGUGAUGUGAAUCUCCCGUAUUUUUAGAUUGAUAUCUGGUGACUGUGGAGGCCAUUUGACUAUAGUGAACUCAUUGGCAUGUUCAAGAAACCAGUUUGAGAUGAUAUGAGCUUUGUGACUGUUAUCCUGCUAGAAGUAGCCAUCAGAAGAUGGAUACACUGUGGUCAUGAAGGGAUGGACAGCAAUAAUACUCAGGUAGGGUAUGGCAUUUUAAUGAUGGUCAGUUGGUACUAAGGGGCCUUAAGUGUGCCUCAGUAUAUUGUAGUCUCAGUUUCCUGUUCUUAGCUGACAAGAGUGGCACCUGGUGUGACCUUCUGCUGCUGUAGCCCAUCAAGGUUCAACGUGUUUUGCGUUCAGAGAUGCUCUUCUUCAUACCUCGGUUGUGACAUGUUUAUUUGAGUUACUGUUACCUUUCUAUCAGCUCAAUUUCAUAACUGAAAUCACUUUUCUUCCCCAUUCUGAUGCUCAGUUUGAACUUCAGCAGAUCAUCUUACCAUGUCUACAUGCCUAAAUGCAUUGAGUUGCUGCUAUGUGAUUGGUUGAUUAGAUGUUUGCGUUAACAAGCAGUUGAGCAGGUGCACCUAAUAAAGUGGCCAGUAAGUGUAUAAAUGGGUGACUUUGUGUUCAAUUCUAGUUUCAGUUUAGGUUUAGUCAUAGGACUUGAUGAAAUUAUCUUUCAAGGGACUGUCAUUAACAGGUUCAAUGCUGUUUUGUGUUUUAGUCUAGUCUGCCUUCUUUAAGUUGAUGCAAUUUCCAAGAGAACCUUAAAUAUAUUUUUAUAUGUAGUAUCUCUAUACCCAGCCCUCUUCCUGUGCACUUCUGUUUUCACUUCCUCUUAACCGCUUCAUGCUCAUUUCCAAACAUCUUACUCUGCACUCAAAUGGACUUAAAUGGACAACACAACAUCAAAUAUUGAUUAGUGAGGAUUUUAUUGAUUAGAUAAAUUGUUACAAACAUACAAAAGUCAUUUGUUUUCCUGCAUUUCUAAAAUUGUUACUCAGCAGAUUAUAAUAAAGAUUAAGUAAAAAAAUGAA